rnacentral:rRNA from 1 species
CAAGUAGGCGGUCUAAUAAGCGAGGGGUGAAAUCUUCCGACUCAAUCGGAAAACUGCCUUUCGAACUGUUAGACUUGAGGUAGGUAGAGGGAAGUGGAAUUUCCGGUGUAAGGGUGAAAUCUGUAGAUAUCGGAAAGAACACCAACGGCGAAGGCAACUUCCUGGGCCUAUCCUGACGCUAAAUUGCGAAAGCUAGGGGAGCAAACAGGAUUAGAUACCCUGGUAGUCC